CAGUAGCCGCGGGAACACGAAGGGGGCUAGCGUUGCUCGGAAUGACUGGGCGUAAAGGGCGCGUAGGCGGAUUGUUUAGUUAGGCGUGAAAUUCCUGGGCUUAACCUGGGGACUGCGCUUAAUACAGGCAGUCUAGAGUGAGGAAGAGGGUUGUGGAAUUCCCAGUGUAGAGGUGAAAUUCGUAGAUAUCGGGAAGAACACCGGUGGCGAAGGCGGCAACCUGGUCCUUGACUGACGCUGAGGCGCGAAAGCGUGGGGAGCAAACAGGAUUAGAUACCCGUGUAGUCCCUGUCUCUUAUAC
rnacentral:rRNA from 1 species